UCUCAAAUGGCUCAGUGGUAAAGAAUCUGCCUGCAAUGCAGGAGACACAGGUUCCAUCCCUAUGUCGGGAA
rnacentral:tRNA from 1 species